rnacentral:rRNA from 1 species
AGAGCGAACGCUGGCGGCAGGCUUAACACAUGCAAGUCGAGCGGGCGUAGCAAUACGGUCAGCGGCAGACGGGUGAGUAACGCGUGGGAACGUACCUUUUGGUUCGGAACAACACAGGGAAACUUGUGCUAAUACCGGAUAAGCCCUUACGGGGAAAGAUUUAUCGCCGAAAGAUCGGCCCGCGUCUGAUUAGCUAGUUGGUGAGGUAAUGGCUCACCAAGGCGACGAUCAGUAGCUGGUCUGAGAGGAUGAUCAGCCACAUUGGGACUGAGACACGGCCCAAAACUCCUACGGGAGGCAGCAGUGGGGAAUAUUGGACAAUGGGCGCAAGCCUGAUCCAGCCAUGCCGCGUGAGUGAUGAAGGCCCUAGGGUUGUAAAGCUCUUUUGUGCGGGAAGAUAAUGACGGUACCGCAAGAAUAAGCCCCGGCUAACUUCGUGCCAGCAGCCGC